AUUGAACGCUGGCGGCAGGCUUAACACAUGCAAGUCGAGCGAGCGGCGGACGGGUGAGUAAUGUCUGGGAAACUGCCUGCUAGAGGGGGAUAACUACUGGAAACGGUAGCUAAUACCGCAUACUAUCGGAUGUGCCCAGAUUGGAUUAGCUAGUAGGUGGGGUAAAGGCUCACCUAGGCGACGAUCCCUAGCUGGUCUGAGAGGAUGACCAGCCACACUGGAACUGAGACACGGUCCAGACUCCUACGGGAGGCAGCAGUGGGGAAUAUUGCACAAUGGGCGCAAGCCUGAUGCAGCCAGGCCGCGUGUUUGAAGAAGGCCUUCGGGUUGUAAAGCACUUUCAGUGAGGAGGCGUUACCUGCAGAAGAAGCACCGGCUAACUCCGUGCCAGCAGCCGCGGUAAUUC
rnacentral:rRNA from 1 species